rnacentral:rRNA from 1 species
GACGAACGCUGGCGGCGUACUUAACACAUGCAAGUCGAACGAAGUGGCGAACGGGUGAGUAACGCGUAAUCAACCUGCCCUUCAGAGGGGGACAACAGUGGGAAACGACUGCUAAUACCGCAUAAUGAAGGAGGGGAUGGCGUUUGAUUAGCUAGUUGGGGGGGUAACGGCUCACCAAGGCGAGGAUCAGUAGCUGGUCUGAGAGGAUGAUCAGCCACACUGGGACUGAGACACGGCCCAGACUCCUACGGGAGGCAGCAGUGGGGAAUCUUCCGCAAUGGGCGCAAGCCUGACGCAGCCACGCCGCGUGUAUGAAGAAGGUCUUCGGGUCGUAAAGCUCUGUUAGACGGGAGCGUUAUCUUCCGAAAAAGCCACGGCUAACUCCGUGCCAGCAGCCGCGGUAAUUC